rnacentral:rRNA from 1 species
AUGGCGGAGGUGUGGAGUAUACCGGACAUCGAGUCAGUCCGUAACACCGGCCCGGAGUGGCUCCUGAACCUAAUUGCAGAAAGCAAUGAAGGGGACUGGCUGCGCCUGAUUAUGCUACUGUGGAGAUGUUGGCAUGUGCGCAACGGGAUCACUCAUGACAAACCGGCGCCGCCUGUGGAGAUAUCUCGUCGCUUUUUGCAGAGCUACGUAACCUCACUGCUCGGGAUCCAGCAGUAUCCACAGGGAGAUUGGGACAAAGGGAAGAUGACCAUCCAACAAGAAGGUGCAGAACAACCUAUAUCACAUGUGGGAGGUGUGCCACGAACAACCCACAAAUGGAGUCCCCCACCCGCCAACUGGACGAAGCUGAAUGUCGACGGUUCCUUUUUCCAUGAUGACGGGAGGGCCGGACGGGAAUGGUGCUCCGUGACUAGGAAGGGGACAUUAUUUUCUCCGUGUGUCGCUCGCUAUGGUCUUGCCCGGACCCUCUACAUGCCGAGCUGGCUGGUGCAACUGAUCAAUGCCUCAGGACAAGACCGCUCACAGUACGCCAUGGUGGUCUCGGAAGUGAAGCAUCUUAUGAGUGAAAGGGAGUGUCAUGUUAUUCAUAUUUCUCGAGAGCAGAAUAAUGUAAGCCAUGCGUUGGCGAACUUUGGAAGGACGGAAGACCGUACUGUGGUCUGGCUCCACUCCGGCCCGGACAAUAUCCCUAGCUUGUGUAGGGAGGACCUUCUUGGCUCUUGA